rfam:Wuchereria bancrofti cont1.3058, whole genome shotgun sequence.
GCACGGAUGGCCGAGUGGUCUAAGGCGCCAGACUCAAGCAAACGAUACGUAUGCUUCACGCGAGUACAAGUGUGUGACUUUGGGGUGUUCUGGUAUCGUGAUCGAUGCGUGGGUUCGAAUCCCACUCCGUGCA